CAUUGAAGUACGGCAAUUAUGGCCAGUGGAGAGAAAACCAGGAUGCUUGAAUUUCUUCAUGACACAAUGACUAUGAUAUAUUUGACCUGCAAUAAGCAAUUCUAUAACUGCUCAUUUUGAACAAAGUUUCAUUUUUAGCAGAUUGCGAUGGCAGCUUCUAUAUUUAAAAAAGGCUUUUGUCUCUUACAACCUGAAGAAGCAAUUACAAUGAAUAUUCUACGAUUGUGUGGUUUUGUGUGGUUUUUGCAGCUGAACAGCAAAUAGUGACUCUAGAUAUAAUGAUUCCACCACAGCCAUCAAGAGAAAAAACAAUACACUUUGAAAUCACGAACAGCCCUGUCUCUCAUGCCUACUUGUGGUGCUUUGAAGAUAAAUUAUUCAAGGAUUGAAAA